GUUGUAUGGUUAAGUGACUAAGCGUACACGGUGGAUGCCUGGGCAGUCAGA
rnacentral:rRNA from 1 species